AAGAAUCACAAGUUCAAAGCCAGCCUCAGCAAAGGUGUGGCACUAAGAAAUUCAGUGAGACCCUGUCUCUAAAUAAAAUACAAGAUAGGUCUGGGAAUGUGGCUUAGAGGUUGAGUGACCCUGACUUCAAUCCCUGAUACAAAAAAAAAAAAAAUCCAUUCUUCCUUUCAAAGCCAUCCAACUAAAAUAUUCACUUGUGAUGUGCUUUCUGAGAUAUAAUCCACAUACUUCCACAACCUAAAAUGCAUAAUUCAAUGCAUUUUAAUAUAUUCACAGAGGAGCAUUUUGAGUAUUUUGUCCUUUCCCCAACAACCACUUAGGUAUCACCUCCCAAUUUCCCCAUUUCUUUGCCUAGGCAAUUAUUAAUAUUGUUUCCAUAGAGUUGCCUGCUUGGGUCAUUUCAUAUACUAUCAUCAUACAGUAUAUGGUCUUUGUGGCUACUCUCAAUUUGUGAUUUUUUAAGUUUCAACCAUAUCAGAGCAUAUAACAAUACUUCAUUUAUUUUAUAGCUGCAUAAUAUUUUAUUAUAAUCAUUGUUUAUCCAUUCAUCCCUUGAGUGAUGUGUGAGUUGUUUCUCUCCUUUUGCUAAUAUGAAUAAUGCUUCUAUGAAUGUUCAUAUGCAAAUUUUGGUCUAGACAUUUUUUCCCCUAUAAAUGGAAUUGCUGGUUACAUGAGAACUUUUUGUUUAGCUUUUAAACAGCUGUCUGAGUAUUUUUCAAGAAGAAAAAUUAUUUCCACCAGCCAUGUAUGAGGGUUCUAAUUUCUGCACACCUUCACCAACACUCCUUAUUACCUUUUCUAUUAUAU
rnacentral:lncRNA from 1 species